rnacentral:rRNA from 1 species
AUUGAACGCUGGCGGCAUGCUUUACACAUGCAAGUCGAACGGUAACAGGCCGCAAGGUGCUGACGAGUGGCGAACGGGUGAGUAAUGCAUCGGAACGUGCCCAGUCGUGGGGAAUAACUACUCGAAAGAGUAGCUAAUACCGCAUACGAUCUAUGGAUGAAAGCGGGGGACCGUAAGGCCUCGCGCGAUUGGAGCGGCCGAUGUCAGAUUAGGUAGUUGGUGGGGUAAAGGCUCACCAAGCCAACGAUCUGUAGCUGGUCUGAGAGGACAACCAGCCACACUGGGACUGAGACACGGCCCAGACUCCUACGGGAGGCAGCAGUGGGGAAUUUUGGACAAUGGGCGCAAGCCUGAUCCAGCAAUGCCGCGUGCAGGAAGAAGGCCUUCGGGUUGUAAACUGCUUUUGUACGGAACGAAACGGCUCUGGUUAAUACCCGGGGCUAAUGACGGUACCGUAAGAAUAAGCACCGGCUAACUACGUG